GAUGAACGCUAGCGGCAGGCCUAAUACAUGCAAGUCGAACGGUGUCUUCGGACAUAGUGGCGCACGGGUGCGUAACACGUAUGCAACCUACCUUACAUUGGGGGAUAGCCUUUCGAAAGGGAGAUUAAUACCGCAUAAGACAGUAGCUGGGCAUCCAGCAGCUGUUAAAGAUUUAUCGAUGUAAGCUGGGCAUGCGUCCAACCAGCUAGUUGGUGAGGUAACGGCUCACCAAGGCAAUGAUUGGUAGGGGAACUGAGAGGUCAAUCCCCCACACUGGCACUGAGAUACGGGCCAGACUCCUACGGGAGGCAGCAGUAGGGAAUAUUGGGCAAUGGACGCAAGUCUGACCCAGCCAUGCCGCGUGCAGGAUGAAGGCGUUAUGCGUUGUAAACUGCUUUUAUACAGGAAGAAACGACUCUUGCGAGAGGCAUUGACGGUACUGUAUGAAUAAGCACCGGCUAACUCCGUGCCAGCCGCCGCCGUAAGAC
rnacentral:rRNA from 1 species